UCAGGACGAACGCUGGCGGCGUGCUUAACACAUGCAAGUCGAACGGAAAGGCCCAGCUUGCUGGGUACUCGAGUGGCGAACGGGUGAGUAACACGUGGGUGAUCUGCCCCUGACUUUGGGAUAAGCCUGGGAAACUGGGUCUAAUACCGGAUAUGACCAUGGCCUGCAUGGGUUGUGGUGGAAAGCUUUUGCGGUUGGGGAUGGGCCCGCGGCCUAUCAGCUUGUUGGUGGGGUAAUGGCCUACCAAGGCGACGACGGGUAGCCGACCUGAGAGGGUGAUCGGCCACACUGGGACUGAGACACGGCCCAGACUCCUACGGGAGGCAGCAGUGGGGAAUAUUGCACAAUGGGCGCAAGCCUGAUGCAGCGACGCCGCGUGAGGGAUGACGGCCUUCGGGUUGUAAACCUCUUUCACCAGGGACGAAGCGCGAGUGACGGUACCUGGAGAAGAAGCACCGGCCAACUACGUGCCAGCAGCCGCGGUAAUACGUAGGGUGCGAGCGUUGUCCGGAAUUACUGGGCGUAAAGAGCUCGUAGGCGGUUUGUCGCGUCGUCUGUGAAAUUCUGCAGCUUAACUGCAGGCGUGCAGGCGAUACGGGCAGACUUGAGUACUACAGGGGAGACUGGAAUUCCUGGU
rnacentral:rRNA from 1 species